UACGUAGGGGGCAAGCGUUGUCCGGAUUUAUUGGGCGUAAAGAGCUCGUAGGCGGUUGGGCAAGUCACGUGUGAAAUCUCCACGCUCAACGUGGAGGCGCCACGUGAGACUGCCCUGACUCGAGUCCGGUAGGGGAGCGUGGAAUUCCCGGUGUAGCGGUGAAAUGCGCAGAGAUCGGGAGGAACACCCGUAGCGAAGGCGGCGCUCUGGGCCGGUACUGACGCUGAGGAGCGAAAGCGUGGGGAGCGAACAGG
rnacentral:rRNA from 1 species